UUUGAAUAGACUUGGCUCCCAGGGACUCUAUGUGUUUGAAUGCCUUAGCCCAUAAAAGCAGCACCAUUGGGAGGCGUGGCUUUGUGGAAGUGGGUGUGGCUUUGUUGGAGAAAGAGUUGCUAACUGUGGGGAGGAGCUUUGAGGUCUCCUGUGCUCAAGCUAUAACCAGCUUGACACACAGCCUCCUUUGCUCCCUGCAGAUCUACAUAUAGAACUUUCCUCCCUCCUCCAGCACCAUGUCUGCCUGCACGCCGCCAUGCUUCCUGCCUUGGCGAUAAAGGACUAAACCUUUGAAACUAGAACUCACAUAAACAUGGAUUCCGACCCAUCUGCUUAAGGAAGUGUGUGUCACAGUUGGAAGCAGCCUGUCUCCCACCUGCUGGUACUGCUGAGGGGUGUCACUGGAUCAUAAACAUCAAGACAUCAAAGCAGUGGUCAGUUCACAGCCGAAUAACUACUGGGAUUUGAUGGAGAAGUGUCCAAGGUGGAGCCCCUCUCCCCCCAGGGUGUGUCUUGUGCUCAG
rnacentral:lncRNA from 1 species